AUUGAACGCUGGCGGCAGGCUUAACACAUGCAAGUCGAACGAGUGGCGGACGGGUGAGUAAUGUAUGGGAAUCUGGCUGAUGGAGGGGGAUAACUACGGGAAACUGUAGCUAAUACCGCGUACCAUAGGAUGAACCCAAGUGGGAUUAGGUAGUUGGUGAGGUAAAGGCUCACCAAGCCGACGAUCCCUAGCUGGUCUGAGAGGAUGACCAGCCACACUGGGACUGAGACACGGCCCAGACUCCUACGGGAGGCAGCAGUGGGGAAUAUUGCGCAAUGGGGGCAAGCCUGACGCAGCCAUGCCGCGUGAAUGAAGAAGGCCUUAGGGUUGUAAAGUACUUUCGGUGGCGAGGCGUUACCUGCAGAAGAAGCACCGGCUAACUCCGUGCCAGCAGCCGCGGUAAUAC
rnacentral:rRNA from 1 species